rnacentral:rRNA from 1 species
CGGGGUGGAGUAACGCGUGGAUAACCUGCCUCACACUGGGGGAUAACAGUUAGAAAUGGCUGCUAAUACCGCAUAAGCGCACAGUACCGCAUGGUACGGUGUGAAAAACCCAGGUGGUGUGAGAUGGAUCCGCGUCUGAUUAGCCAGUUGGCGGGGUAACGGCCCACCAAAGCGACGAUCAGUAGCCGACCUGAGAGGGUGACCGGCCACAUUGGGACUGAGACACGGCCCAA